rnacentral:rRNA from 1 species
UACGUAGGGUCCGAGCGUUGUCCGGAAUUACUGGGCGUAAAGAGCUCGUAGGUGGUUUGUCGCGUUGUUCGUGAAAAACUCACAGCUCAACUGUGGGCGUGCGGGCGAUACGGGCAGACUUGAGUACUGCAGGGGAGACUGGAAUUCCUGGUGUAGCGGUGGAAUGCGCAGAUAUCAGGAGGAACACCGGUGGCGAAGGCGGGUCUCUGGGCAGUAACUGACACUGAGGCGCGACAGCGUGGGGGAGCAAACAGG